UGGGGAAUAUUGCGCAAUGGGCGAAAGCCUGACGCAGCAACGCCGCGUGAGUGAUGAAGGCCUUCGGGUCGUAAAGCUCUGUCGGAGGGAACGAAUGCUCCUGAAGUUAACAGCCUCAGGAGGUGACGGUACCCUCAAAGGAAGCACCGGCUAACUCUGUGCCAGCAGCCGCGGUAAUACAGAGGGUGCAAGCGUUGUUCGGAUUUACUGGGCGUAAAGGGCGCGUAGGCGGCAUGACAAGUCACUUGUGAAAUCUCUGGGCUUAACCCAGAACGGCCAAGUGAUACUGUCGCGCUAGAGUGCAGAAGGGGCAAUCGGAAUUCUUGGUGUAGCGGUGAAAUGCGUAGAUAUCAAGAGGAACACCUGAGGUGAAGACGGGUUGCUGGGCUGACACUGACGCUGAGGCGCGAAAGCCAGGGGAGCAAACGGGAUUAGAUACCCAAGUAGUCCCUGAGCGGGCUGGCAAGGCGCAU
rnacentral:rRNA from 1 species